rnacentral:rRNA from 1 species
UACGUAGGGGGCGAGCGUUGUCCGGAAUUAUUGGGCGUAAAGAGCGUGUAGGCGGUUCGGUAAGUCUGCCGUGAAAUCCUGGGGCUCAACCCCGAGCCUGCAUUCGAUACGGGCAGACUUGAGUUCGGCAGGGGAGACUGGAAUUCCUGGUGUAGCGGUGAAAUGCGCAGAUAUCAGGAGGAACACCGGUGGCGAAGGCGGGUCUCUGGGCCGAUACUGACGCUGAGACGCGAAAGCUAGGGGAGCGAACAGG